UUAAGUUCAGCGGGUAUUCCUACCUGAUCCGAGGUCAACCUUGUAAAUGAUAUGGGUUGAGACUAGAGCCACCAGCCCCUUCAAUGCGUGCUACAAGAGCUCGUUGCAUCUAGGGUCCGAUGACUCCGCCAUUAACUUUAGGACCCGUCUUUCACGACGAGAGGUCCAACAGAAGCCAGGCUUGAGGGUUGAUAAUGACG
rnacentral:misc_RNA from 1 species